rnacentral:sRNA from 1 species
GUGCACAAGGCGCGUUCGAGCAGCGGCGACCGAGGCGGCGAAGGAGCGCGCCAUGGAGCAUGUGACAGAGGGCUCCUGGGAAUCGCUGCCUGUGCCGCUGCACCCGCAGGUGCUGGGCGCGCUGCGGGAGCUGGGCUUCCCGUACAUGACGCCGGUGCAGUCCGCAACCAUCCCUCUGUUCAUGCGAAACAAAGAUGUCGCUGCAGAAGCGGUGAGUGCCUCGGGUAUGUGCAGCCUGUCCUCGUGUUCUCCCUCAGAUGAACUCUGAGGAAGAAAGGGAAACCAAAACUCUCUGUUUGCAGGUCACAGGUAGUGGCAAAACACUCGCUUUUGUCAUCCCCAUCCUGGAAAUUCUUCUGAGAAGAGAAGAGAAGUUAAAAAAGAGUCAGGUUGGAGCCAUAAUCAUCACCCCCACUCGAGAGCUGGCCAUUCAAAUAGACGAGGUCCUGUCGCAUUUCACGAAGCACUUCCCCGAGUUCAGGUGAAUUGGAUGCAGUGUCCCUGUUAGCCAUGGGCUGUUUUGUCGAACUUAAUCAAAGGCUGUUUUCUUGUUGUAGCCAGAUUCUUUGGAUCGGAGGCAGGAAUCCUGGAGAAGAUGUUGAGAAGUUUAAGCAACAAGGGUGAGUUUGCUCGUGUCUGCUUGUUUCUUUGCUUGCUUUUGGCAUUGAACCUAAGAAUCGAUGUGUGAUCUCAGCCUAACUGUGGGUCCCCCUUUCAGCAGCCUCCUC